GCAGCUGCCAGACCAUUUGCAGGGUAUUACAGGCCCAGGAAAGGAGGUCCAGCUGCCACAAUCUGAUUUAUAUUACAUAAAGAUCUGGGAAAGUGAUUGUCCAGGAACAAGAACAGAAGUAAGAGGACAGUUAGGGGGUUACUGCAGUGGUUCUGACAAGAGAUGGUAGUGUUUGCAGGAGCUGCUGGUGGUGGAGAUGGACAGGGUGGACAUUUAUUUCAUAGCAGAAUGAACAGCACUCACCGAUGAGUUCGACGUAGGGAAGGGAAAAAAGGAACUCCUACAGACACUCCUGGGUUUGGGGGAGUGAGGUACUCAGUCUUGUCUUUCUCAGGGCCAUACACCCUGCUGUUGCCAUGUUCCUGGCUUACACACAAAAUGGUAUUUGUCUUGCAUGUGACUGGAAGGGCCCGUCCCAGGGGCUCCAGCCACCAUGGCUCCAGUGGCCACACCGAGCACUAGCCCAGCAAGCUUGUAACCCACUCACAGCAGUAUCCCCCAUGGAAAGCUCUGCUGCGGGGGAGAAUUUUCCAGCUGGAGCCAAGUGUGUGCUGCAAAGGGCCUACUGAGAGAUGGAAAGUCACACUCUAUGAUAUGCAGCAAGCACUCUCAAGGGCAAGGUAUGCCCCGAGCAUUAGAAAUAGAAGAUUUCUAGAAUUCAAGGCUAGGAGAGAUUUUAGAAUCCAUCUUGUUCAACCCUCUUCCCUCCCUCUUUACAUGGAGGAGUAAGAGAUGAGUCAAAGGUACUCAUUCCUUUAUGCCAUUUAUUGAGUAUGAGUGCAGCUGACCUUGGGCUGGACACCGGUCUGUGUGUGGUCCAAGGAUCCGGGAAUGGAGGGUAAGCCUCUUGUACAGCAACUGGGUCGUUGGGCUUGCAGUUUCUAUUUCUCUCUCUCUUUAUUUAUUUUUUUUAAAGUAAUUCAUCUUCAUUGCGUUUUACAAAAGGAUUAGUUCAAGAUGGAUUGAGGACCAAAAUAACAAUAACAACAAUAAUUUCUUGGCUGUAGCAUUUGCCUCCUAGAGUUACAGCUCAUUCAGCCACAUGACUGUCAGGGCUGCCUGCCUGCUCCAAUUCCCUCCCACUUCCUCCCGUCAGAGGCCCCGAGAUGGUCUUAGAGACCUCAGGAACCCAUUUUAUUCUCCAGCCCUGAUAGGAAGAUGACUCUCCUUCUGGGCGUUAGCCUUUUGCUUUUCUACCGAGGUGUGCUGUGUGACCAAGUGACCCAGAGCCCCCCGUACCAGACAGUGGCAAGCGGCAGUAAGGUGACACUGUUCUGCACUUACCACACAACAUACUCCAACCCGGAUUUAUACUGGUACCGAAUAAGGCCAGAUCGUUCCUUUCAGUUUAUCCUCUACAGGGAUAACACUCGAUCCAAAGAUGCAGAUUUUACUCAGGGUCGUUUUUGGGUGUGGCACAGUCAGUCCCAGAAAACCUUCCACUUGGUGAUCUCGGUGGAGCCUGAAGACAGUGCCACAUACUACUGCGCCAUCUAUCCCCACAGUGUUGCAGGUGCCCAGGAGGUCUGAACAUAAACCCCCAGCACAGCCUGGUGUAGCUCCCUGGGAUCCUUCUUCCCAGCUAUUUUGUGUUCCAGCCUGGCCUUUGGAGGUGCCCUGACAUGUCUGCUGAAUAAUACAAGGGCAGCUCACAUCCAGGAGAGCACCCUGGCUUCAGAUGGAGCAGAGCACCUCCCUACCUUCUGACUCAGUGGGCCGUUGCGGUGGGAGAGUGGGAGAGGUAUGUCUGGGGAAUUCUCAUCUUCGUGUCCCCAGUGCCCAGGUCACUCACGCCUGAUAUGGGGGCCUGUCGCGUAUGUACUCUGAGGACUGUGAAGAUACCAGAAUGGCCAAGGUACCAUUCGGGAGUGUUUUUAUUUUAGUCUCCAUCAUUUAUCCAUUAUUGUGAAUUGGUCUGUUUUCCUUUUAAGAUUCAAAGUAGACACAAAGUUACUUACUUCAAAAUUUUCCCCCCAGUUCACCUUUUCCCUGCUUCUUCUUGCACAGCCACCUUAUUUUUCUUGAAUGCUCUUUGACACUGCCAUUUCACUUACUUUAUUUGGAGAACAUUUUUCUUCCACGGAGGAGCAUUGAGAUACUCCGAAAAAGCUGUUGGUGAUCCCUAGAACCCCAGCAUCAAGUCCCUGCGUUUGGAGCUCUUUGGUGUCUCCAAGGAAGAUGAUCAUCUCCAGGAGAAUCCAACUGUGUGAUGUCAAAAUAGAUACACCCUGAGCCCUGGGAACUGG